GAGGAAGAUAUUCCUUCUGGCCCACAGGAUGCCAAAAUGACUCGAUGAUUUAUUUAUGCAGCGCUUGGCAGCCCAUCGUCCAGAUUGUGGCUGAAGCUGAAUUUUAUGAGCCUUCCCCCAAAAAACUGGAAGAUUUUGCCAUCUUACAAGCCCUCUUCCUUAAGAAAGAGAAAGAUGAGCAGUAAAUAUCCUCUGGCACGUCGGCACAUUCUGUCUCUUCGUGUUUUCAUGAAGUGUUCAUGACAUGGGAUUGAAGUACUCCUUUGUGUUCAGUAUUUGAUAUCAAAUCCUUUACAAAUCACUGGGAGAAUGGUAGAAGGAAUGAUGAGCUUUCCCUGAAGGUUCCAGCUUCUUCCUGCCACUAUUCUCUAGGGUGGGGUCACCUUCAUCUGGUUCCAGGAUGCAGCAUGCCCAGGUCUAAGAAGUCACCCCUUUUGUUACAGUCACUAGACUUUAUCAGGUGCAGAAGGGGUGAUGCCUGACCUACACACCCGGCAAUACCAGAAGUUUCACUACCUUCCGUUGGUAAACGCUUCAGGGAAGGCUCUGCAACCCUGAACGUGUUUUAUUGUAGAACCUCACUAGGAAACUCAUCAGUAUUUAUUAAAGAUGAAUUAAAAGAAGGAGGAAAAGGAAAAACGGGAUAGUGAAGAGAAUAGAUGAAUGAAAAAGAAGCAAAGGGAAGAGAGGAGGAAGGGACAAAGAGGGCAAGAAAAGAGAAAAGAGAGAUGAGAGACCAGGACUUCCCACCUAACCUUACCAAACUUUUUCAGUUGAGCUUUUAAUGGGAUACUAUUCCCAAGAGGAAAUUCAAAAAGAAAACCACCUUGAAACAUCCUUGCUUUUAAUUGUACUCUUUCAACUGCCAGGAAAUUAAUUAGGUAAGACAAAAAGAAAAUUUUCUACCUUAAUAAAAAGAAGCCAACACCCAGGAACAACUGUCUUUGCUUGAGAACAGUGUUACGUGUACAAAGCUGCCUACAAAGUGUCUCCCGCCUGGCUCAGGCAAGAAACUGGGACAGAAGUCUGUGAUGUUAUACCAGCCUGGGAGUCGUGCAUGGUCAUGUCAGUGUCGAGUGCACCAGGCGACACAGGGACAUGCCAGGCACCGCUCCUCCAGAGAGACUUGCCAGGUAUACAUGUUACCUCUCUCCCUUAGGCUUCACAGACUCGGCGGCCUUCCUCCAACCACCUGUCUCCUUAGGAAGUUUGAGAGAACUUUCUCCUCUGUGAUACAAACAGUAACCAAACAAAGCAGUAAACAAUCCAGUGUGGAAAGCACAUACUAAAGCUAAGAUUUAAUGUCACUGAAAUAAAAUCAUAACAACAAAAAACUCCAAGUACCCUUUCUUUGCAUAAUGUAUUUCAGGUGUCCAGCUACAGAGGCCAAGCCUGUGAUUUACAUCAAGCAAAGAGUCCUGGGAGAAAGAGGAGGAAAGACCGCCUUUGCCUGGGACAAGAUUCCUAUUUGUGUCAAGGAGAGUUAGGGACGAGAUGGUUGAGGCAGAGCAGCUGACUGCAGUCUUUAUCCAGUUUGCAUUGCUUUGGGGAAAGCCUUUUAACUGCAAGCCGGAUUGUCCAGAUGCUGGGCUGUCCGGAUGCUGGAUGGUCCAGAUGCUUUGUCGUGGUUGUUCCCUCUGAGUUUCCUCUGCCUUCUGGCUCCUCUUAGUCACCUUCACAACAGGGCUUUAUCAGGACUCUAGAGCAUCGGGCAAGCUCAGGUCUCACCUCUCCUUUUAAUUCUGCAGGAGUCUAUGCCAUGUACUCCAGCCCUGCAUAGAAUGAGUUCUGGAGUUCACCUGGAGCCCACGGAGAGUGGAUGUGGAACUUUUCUGUAGAACAUAGGAGCCGUCUGUACCGGCACAGCUUCAGCCAGCAAUAAGCAUUACCAGCUCCUGCCAGAGGAGCAAGAGGCAGGUACAAACAGUUGGUUUCUUCUCUACUUAAGGAAAAAAGAGAAAAGAAAAAAAAAAA
rnacentral:lncRNA from 1 species